rnacentral:rRNA from 1 species
AUACGUAGGUGACAAGCGUUAUCCGGAUUUACUGGGCGUAAAGGGCGUGUAGGCGGUCUUGCAAGUCAGAAGUGAAAUUCCUGAGCUCAACUCGGGCGCUGCUUCUGAAACUGCAGGACUUGAGUGCUGGAGGGGAUAGCGGAAUUCCUAGUGGAGCGGUAAAAUGCGCAGAUAUUAGGAAGAACACCGGUGGCGAAGGCGGGUAUCUGGCCGGUAAGUGACGGUGAGGCGCGAAAGCGUGGGGAGCAAACAGGAUGAGAUACCCGGGUAGUCCACGCCGUAAACGAUGAAUACUAGGUGUAGGGGGUAUCGACUCCCUCUGUGCCGCAGUUAACACAAUAAGUAUUCCGCCUGGGGAGUACGGCCGCAAGGUUGAAACUCAAAGGAAUUGACGGGG